AUGGAAGGAGAGGAGGAACUCUACGACGACGCCUCCAAGAAGGUCACGACACCCGCAGGCGCCGACGUCGUCAAAAGCUUUCGCCCAAGUCCCUCAUCUCCUAACAGUGAGCCUGCAGAUCUGGGCACCAUGGAUACCCAGACCACCGGAACCAAGCCUGCUGUGAAGAGCACCUCCCGUCGUCAGCCGCCAAAGCCCUCCCGCGACGACCCACUGCAGCACCUCAUGCGACAGAGAGACGACGCGUUUGCCAGGGUCAGAUCCGCGGGCAACGCUCGGAAUCCACCGUCCCCAGCCGCCGCAGCAGCCCAUGCCGAUGCAACCAUCGCUCCGGGGCGGCCGCCCCAGCAUCCUUGCCUUGCCGCAAAUCCACGCCGUCCGCCCAGCGAAGCUGCAGAAGCACGCCGCCCAGCACCGUGCGCACACACGCCUAGGCCGCGACCUCCCUGCACACGAGCCCCCGUCGUGGCCUCCCAUCCGCGCCUGCGACGCGCCCUGCGCACGCUCGCCGUGCCACCCUGCGCGCCAACGCCUGGCCACACGUGCCUACCCGUGACCAAGCUGCAGCCGCCACGCACCCCCGCCGCGCAGGCCUUGCCAUCCUGCGCGUCCGUCCACGCCCGCGCUGCUCGUGGAUCUGGCCAAAUCCGACCAAAUCCGGCCGCCCCCGCCACCACAGCAUCACCAGAGAAGCCCGAGGCCGCCGCGCAAGCAGCUGCCGGCCCGACCAAGCGCACCACGCCGGACGCAUCUGGAUCGAGUGCGCCCAGCUGCGACCCCCGAGGAAGGGCGCCGAGCGACGGAGAAGACCCUGCCGCCGCCUCCAGCACGCGGGCUUUGCCCGGCGAUGGCCCCAGGCAGCGGCGAGGGGGAGGCGCCGGUGGAGGGCGCUGCUUGGGAAGAGUUAGACAGGUCCUGCCUCCGAGGAUAUCUCCGAGUAUCCAAUUGAAGGGCAGUACCCUACUACCACUCCAUCAGAUGGCCACCCGUUCGCAGAACCAAGUGGUUCGUCUGACCCGGUGCCUUGAUGUGCCUGGCCACACGGCCAUGUUGGUUCGAGUGAUGGUUGAGUCAGGCUAUCGGUGGUAUCCGGAAUAUACCAUUGAGGAGCAGUUCAGAGACUCCAACCAGAGCCAGUACCUCUGUACCGUCAGGAUAUAUCCCUCUUAUCCUGGAGCCACUGAGCCCCUUCACUGUUCCUAUGGACUUGGGGUCACUAUUGAGAUGUCUGUCCAGGAUGCAGCCUAUUCAAUGAUGACUAUCAUUUGA
rnacentral:rRNA from 1 species